CGCGGCGCCGGGGAGGAGUCCGGGGCGGCGGCGCGGGGCGCGCGCUCGACUAGGGCGCCCCCUCCAGGGCCAACUGCAGCCUGCGGGACUGGGCUGAUCACCGGCUGGCCUGGGCGGUCUGACGACCCCUCCACAACCUGGCAGUCUCAGGGAGGCAGUUUACGGAACGUGGAUUCUGCCCAUCGUCGGUCCUCUGAACUGCUGUGGAGCUCCCACAGGCCGGGGAGGCUGCUCAGCGCCCGCACAGGGGUGUGUCCUCUCCGCAGAUCAUCCCCCCUGUUACCCCCUGUGCCUGCGCAGCUGGCCCUGUGCCUCCCAGGGUUCUGGAGAGGCACAGUGGGACAUGUGCUGGCUGCCCUACGAGAUUCUGCGGACAGCAGAGGUUUGCCGGGACCAGGUCUGCUCCACGCUGUGUGGACCCCAGGGCUUUUGUUGGUUUUAAAAAACAUUUUGUUUAGGAAUAGCUUCAAGCUAUGGAAAGCUACAAAAAUAAACACCAGACACCUUUUACUUA